rfam:Operophtera brumata OBRT01_Sc08011, whole genome shotgun sequence.
UGUUCUAUGGCCAAACUGGUAAAGGCACUGCCGAUCACAAGCAAGGUUGCGGGUUCGAGUCCCGCUGGAACGG